CUUCCUCCCCUCCCCGAGCCGCCGCCUCCCUGUCCCCGAUCCAGAUCCACCCAAACCCCCAACCCCCGAACCUCUCCCUCUCUCCCGAGCACCCUCCUCCUGAACCUCUCCCUCUCCUACGAGCCCCCUCCUCCAGAGCCCCCUCCACACGAGCCCAUCCCUCUCACCUCCGUCGGCCCCAAGUGGAGGCGCAGAGGCGGCGCCUCUCCGUCCGUCGGCUCCUCGUGGAGGAGCAGCGGGGGCGGCAGCGUGUGGAGGAGCAGCACCUCCGCCGCCAGCCGCGAGCCCAGCCGGAUCCGGCCUUGUCCAGCCGCCGCCGAUUCACGUCGCCGGAGGUGGGGAGAUGAGGAGGCCGACGCUUUCUCGGCCGCAGAAAGGAGGAGGUACGCAUCUCUCCCUCUCUCGGUUCUUUGUAAAUCUCACUCUUUCUUUCUCUUUCUCUCGCAGAUUUGUUGGUGGCGGUUCCGCAAGCAAUUUUGGCAAGCAACAAGCCGGAUGUGUUGAUUUUUUUGGUAUGCAAUUAUUUGUAUAUGUGAUCUGUAAAGUGAUUUGUUGUGGUGUUCAAAAUGGUGCUUGUAUUGUAUGUAUUCAGAUUUGUUGCUUCAUUUGAUUUGAUGAAUUGAUGAACGCUCGGGCCUCUUGCCCUCAAUUUUUUUUAAA